rnacentral:rRNA from 1 species
GAUGAACGCUGGCGGCGUGCCUAAUACAUGCAAGUCGAGCGAACGGACGAGAAGCUUGCUUCUCUGAUGUUAGCGGCGGACGGGUGAGUAACACGUGGAUAACCUACCUAUAAGACUGGGAUAACUUCGGGAAACCGGAGCUAAUACCGGAUAAUAUUUUGAACCGCAUGGUUCAAAAGUGAAAGACGGUCUUGCUGUCACUUAUAGAUGGAUCCGCGCUGCAUUAGCUAGUUGGUAAGGUAACGGCUUACCAAGGCAACGAUGCAUAGCCGACCUGAGAGGGUGAUCGGCCACACUGGAACUGAGACACGGUCCAGACUCCUACGGGAGGCAGCAGUAGGGAAUCUUCCGCAAUGGGCGAAAGCCUGACGGAGCAACGCCGCGUGAGUGAUGAAGGUCUUCGGAUCGUAAAACUCUGUUAUCAGGGAAGAACAUAUGUGUAAGUAACUGUGCACAUCUUGACGGUACCUAAUCAGAAAGCCACGGCUAACUACGUG